UCCACAGUAGCUCAAGGGAAGAGCGGGCGCCUGUUAAGCGUCAGGUUGGGGGUUCGAAUCCCUCCUGUGGAG
rnacentral:tRNA from 3 species